rnacentral:rRNA from 1 species
GACGAACGCUGGCGGCGUGCUUAACACAUGCAAGUCGAACGGAAAGGCCCUGCUUUUGUGGGGUGCUCGAGUGGCGAACGGGUGGGUAACACGUGAGUAGCCUGCCCUUGACUUUGGUAUAACUUCAGGAAACUGAGGCUAGUACCGGAUAGGAGCUCCUGCUGCUUGGUGGGGGUGGGAAAGUUUCGGCGGUUGGGGAUGGACUCGCGGCGUAUCAGCUUGUUGGUGGGGUAGUGGCUUACCAAGGCUUUGACGGGUAGCCGGCCUGAGAGGGUGACCGGCCACAUUGGGACUGAGAUACGGCCCAGACUCCUACGGGAGGCAGCAGUGGGGAAUAUUGCACAAUGGGCGGAAGCCUGAUGCAGCAACGCCGCGUGCGGGAUGACGGCCUUCGGGUUGUAAACCGCUUUCGCCUGUGACGAAGCGUGAGUGACGGUAAUGGGUAAAGAAGCACCGGCUAACUACGUG